GAGGGCAUAGCCCAAGUGGUAGAGUGCAUGCUUAGCAUGCAUGAGGUCCUGGGUUCAAUCCUCAGCACCUUCU
rfam:Camelus ferus unplaced genomic scaffold scaffold482, whole genome shotgun sequence.